GAGUUUGAUCGUGGCUCAGGAUGAACGCUGGCGGCGUGCCUAAUACAUGCAAGUCGAGCGAACAGACGAGGAGCUUGCUCCUCUGACGUUAGCGGCGGACGGGUGAGUAACACGUGGAUAACCUACCUAUAAGACUGGGAUAACUUCGGGAAACCGGAGCUAAUACCGAAUAAUAUAUUGAACCGCAUGGUUCAAUAGUGAAAAACGGUUUUGCUGUCACUUAUAGAUGGAUCCGCGCCGCAUUAGCUAGUUGGUAGGGUAACGGCUUACCAAGGCGACGAUGCGUAGCCGACCUGAGAGGGUGAUCGGCCACACUGGAACUGAGACACGGUCCAGGACUCCUACGGGAGGCAGUAGUAGGGAAUCUUCCGCAAUGGGCGAAAGCCUGACGGAGCAACGCGCGUGAGUGAUGAAGUCUUCGGAUCGUAAAACUCUGUUAUUAGGGAAGAACAAAUGUGUAAGUAACUAUGCACGUCUUGACGGUACCUAAUCAGAAAGCCACGGCUAACUACGUGCCAGCAGCCG
rnacentral:rRNA from 1 species